UACGUAGGGUGCAAGCGUUGUCCGGAAUUAUUGGGCGUAAAGAGCUCGUAGGCGGUUUGUCGCGUCUGCUGUGAAAACUCGGGGCUUAACCCCGGGCCCGCAGUGGGUACGGGCAGACUAGAGUGCGGUAGGGGAGACUGGAAUUCCUGGUGUAGCGGUGAAAUGCGCAGAUAUCAGGAGGAACACCGGUGGCGAAGGCGGGUCUCUGGGCCGUAACUGACGCUGAGGUGCGAAAGCGUGGGGAGCAAACAGG
rnacentral:rRNA from 1 species